rnacentral:rRNA from 1 species
GAGUUUGAUCAUGGCUCAGAGCGAACGCUGGCGGCAGGCCUAACACAUGCAAGUCGAGCGCCCGUAGCAAUACGGGAGCGGCAGACGGGAGAGUAACACGUGGGAACGCGCCCUUCGGUUCGGAAUAACUCAGGGAAACUUGAGCUAAUACCGGAUACGCCCUUACGGGGAAAGAUUUAUCGCCGAAGGAACGGCCCGCGUCCGAUUAGCUAGUUGGUGAGGUAAUGGCUCACCAAGGCGACGAUCGGUAGCUGGUCUGAGAGGAUGACCAGCCUCACUGGGACUGAGACACGGCCCAGACUCCUACGGGAGGCAGCAGUGGGGAAUAUUGGACAAUGGGCGCAAGCCUGAUCCAGCCAUGCCGCGAGGAUGAUGAAGGCCUUAGGGUUGUAAAGUCCUUUCGACGGAGAAGAUAAUGACGGUAUCCGUAGAAGAGCCCCGGCUAACUUCGUGCCAGCCG